UCUAUAAAUAUAAAUCCAAUCAUUACACUUCUAAAAUACAUAGUUUCAUCGCUCCCCCUUUUCCAUCUGCAUUUGGUCUCUUCCGGAACCUUUAUAAGGUGUUCAGGCCCCCAGGGAAUCUUUUAGCCUGAACACCCUGCAGAGGAAGAGACAGAGGACACCAUCAGUUCCAGCUGAGGUGCCACUGGACAAAACACAAACAAUAAAAUACUUCAAUUUG